UACAGAGGUCCCAAGCGUUGUUCGGAUUCACUGGGCGUAAAGGGUGCGUAGGUGGCUUGGUAAGUUUGAUGUGAAAUCUCCGGGCUUAACCCGGAAAUGGCAUUGAAUACUAUUGAGCUGGAGGUUUGGAGGGGGACUGGAAUUCGUCGGUGUAGCAGUGAAAUGCGUAGAUAUCGAGAGGAACACCAGUGGCGAAGGCGAGUCCCUGGACAACACCUGACACUGAGGCACGAAAGCUAGGGGAGCAAACAGG
rnacentral:rRNA from 1 species